rnacentral:rRNA from 1 species
GCAGGUCAGCAUACUGCCGUGAAUACGUUCCCGGGCCUUGUACACACCGCCCGUCACACCAUGAGAGUUGGAGAUACCCGAAGCCUGUGAGCUAACAAACGAGGCAGCAGUCGAAGGUAGAAUCAAUGAUUGGGGUGAAGUCGUAACAAGGUACC